rnacentral:rRNA from 1 species
UGAGGAAUAUUCCGCAAUGGGGGAAACCCUGACGGAGCAAUGCCGCGUGCAGGAUGAAGGCCCUCGGGUCGUAAACUGCUUUUAUAUGAGAAGAAUAUGACGGUAACAUAUGAAUAAGGGACGGCUAACUACGUGCCAGCAGCCGCGGUCAUACGUAGGUCCCAAGCGUUAUCCGGAGUGACUGGGCGUAAAGAGUUGCGUAGGCGGCUCGUUAAGCGUGAAAUGAAAUUUAUCGGCUCAACCGGUAAACUAUUUCGCGAACUGACGGGCUCGAGAGUAUGAGAGGUUACUGGAAUUUCUAGUGUAGCAGUGAAAUGCGUAGAUAUUAGAAAGAACACCAACGGCGUAGGCAGGUAACUGGCAUACAUCUGACGCUGAGGCACGAAAGCGUGGGGAGCGAACC